AUUGAACGCUGGCGGCAUGCCUUACACAUGCAAGUCGAACGGUAACAGGUCUUCGGAUGCUGACGAGCGGCGAACGGGUGAGUAAUACAUCGGAACGUGCCUAGUAGUGGGGGAUAACUACUCGAAAGAGUGGCUAAUACCGGAUGCGAGCUACGGAUGAAAGCAGGGGAUCGCAAGACCUUGUUCGACUAGAGCGGCCGAUGGCAGAUUAGGUAGUGGGUGGGAUAAAAGCUCACCAAGCCGACGAUCUGUAGCUGGUCUGAGAGGACGAUCAGCCACACUGGGACUGAGACACGGCCCAGACUCCUACGGGAGGCAGCAGUGGGGAAUUUUGGACAAUGGGCGAAAGCCUGAUCCAGCAAUGCCGCGUGCAGGAUGAAGGCCUUCGGGUUGUAAACUGCUUUUGUACGGAACGAAAAGCCCCGGGUUAAUACCCUGGGGUCAUGACGGUACCGUAAGAAUAAGCACCGGCUAACUACGUGCCAGCCGCCGCCGUAA
rnacentral:rRNA from 1 species